rnacentral:lncRNA from 1 species
CUCAAGUAGUAUUUUAAGACACCUGAACAUUUAUUUCUCUAAUUACUUUUUUUUUCAGUAUCAGAAGUAUUUUGAUAUCAGCAGGACUACCGUCUCAUUCUUCUUCAAUUUCACAGCAUUCUAAGGGAAGUAAAUCACCCGACUUUGCUGAUGCAUCAUGGUCCACCAGAUCCUGCAGAAAUCAUAAAAACAUUACCUCAGAAAUACAGAAGGAAACUUGUGUCUCAAGAAGAAAUUGAAUUAUCCAACGUGGAGGUCCGGAAAUAAUCACUGACCGGGUGGGCUCUGGUUUUGUCAUCAGACAAAAGAUAGUCCUAUUACAAUAAAGAACUGCCAAAAGGGCACAUGAGAUAAAUUAGACAGUAACAACUUGAAUAAAUAUCUCGUUAAAAAAAAAGACAAAAAAAUAUAGAAAAUUUAGAUGGACCACUUGUAUCUUCUCAAUAAUGUUAUCUUGGUCAUUUCCUUCACCAAGCUUUACCUAAUUGCUUAUAUACUUAUUAAAGUAUACAUUUUUUAAAUGUUUGCCUAUUAAUGUUCCUCUCGAUUAUCAAGUAUUUAGCCAGUGUUGAGCUAUAAAAGCAUACAAUAUAGGUAGUAAAACUAUCAUAGGUUUCCCAUAAUUUCACUUUUGUUUCAGACAUGGAAAAGAUUAUACAUAUCGAUUGCUGCUUUGGGGGAAUGACUUUUUCCUGAAACUGGAUACAGGAUCGUGAAAGAAGAAUGACUCCAUUAUUUGUUCUUUAUUCUUUUUAACAUUUUUUUUCGAUUCACAAAGUUACUGGAGUAUAACUAGUUUAAAAAGCAUAUCCUACACUAGAUGAUAAAAAUACAGUUAAGGUAAAACAGGGAACUUUGUGGUAUUAAAACUGGGAGUUAACACAAAGAUUAUUUGUAACCUAUAUUCAGAAGAAAAUACCAGAGUUUAAAAUGGAAAAUAAGAGAUCAAAAUGAAUAUAAUCUAGGAAGAGAUGUUUGAUUAGAAAUUGCAACUUACUAUGUUAUUAAGGGUGUUAAGUCUUAAAAAAAAAGGGGGGGGGGUGUUAAGUCUUACUAUUUGAUUUAUUUUACUGUUUUGUCAUGUAUGCAAAUUCUGAAAACCACUUUCUCAAACUUAAUGUCUGAAAGCCUCUUAAAAUCAACCUAAAUAUUUACCUUAUUAAAGCUAUUUAUGGAACUUUAGAGGCUUACAGUGCCAAGGGUAUGCAUUAUUGUGAACUAAAGCGUCACAAAGCUAAAUAAAUUUUCUUCCAUACGUUGAAUGAUAUCUAGAAUAUGCUUUAAAGAAGUCGUCCCUAAUAAAUAAAUAAAUAAAAUAAAUAAAUAAAUAAAUAAAUUAAAUAAUAUAAAAAGUCAUCCCUAAUAGUAGGGUAGCUUGUGGGCAUUAGAGUCAAAUUGUUAUUGAAUAUUACUCAGUUGCCUGUGGAUUAAACUUUACUUUUUUUGUUAUUUCAUAGUUGAUCUGCUUUUCUUAUAAAUUCUCUAUCGUGGCCCUAGUAUAAAUGUUGCCCAAGUCGAAUACGAAAUAGGUGUUUGGUGACUCAGCAAAACAAUGUGACCUCAUUAUUUUCUGUUAUUAUUUUAAAAACUUAUUUGGAAAAUAUUCUAAAAGAUUAGCACUAUUUUCUUCUUUCUCCUUUUUUUCACUUCACUAAAAGGAAGCCAAGGUCGAUUUUUUUUUGCUUUCCCCAAACAGAGUGGGUUCAAGCAAUGAAGAAUGAUUUGUGUGAUACUGUGGGCCAGCAGUCAGAAACCCCAUACUAGAACUGUCUGAGGUCAUCUUCAUUAGAGCUCCUACCAUGAAUGGUGCAAUGAAAAACUAUCACAUUUACAGAAUUUGUCAGCUUAACUAUGGCAAAAAGGCAUCUUCAGUAGGAAAUGGUGUCAUAGGAUGAGCUCCCAAAAAGGAUAGAUUAAUAGCCAGUAUUUUCA